rnacentral:rRNA from 1 species
GAUGAACGCGGGCGGCGUGCUUAACACAUGUAAGUCGAACGAAGCUGCCCAAAGGAAGUUUUCGGAUGGAAUUUAGGUAGACUUAGUGGCGGACGGGUGAGUAACGCGUGGAUAACCUGCCUUAUACAGGGGGAUAACGGAGAGAAAUUUCCGCUAAUACCGCAUAAGACCACAGCACCGCAUGGUGCAGGGGUAAAAUAUUUAUAGGUAUAAGAUGGAUCCGCGUCCGAUUAGCUAGUUGGUGAGGUAAAGGCCCACCAAGGCGACGAUCGGUAGCCGGCCUGAGAGGGUGAACGGCCACAUUGGGACUGAGACACGGCCCAAACUCCUACGGGAGGCAGCAGUGGGGAAUAUUGGACAAUGGGGGAAACCCUGAUCCAGCGACGCCGCGUGAGUGAAGAAGUAUUUCGGUAUGUAAAGCUCUAUCAGCAGGGAAGAAAAUGACGGUACCUGACUAAGAAGCCCCGGCUAACUACGUGCCAGCAGCCGCGGUAAUACGUAGGGGGCAAGCGUUAUCCGGAUUUACUGGGUGUAAAGGGAGCGCAGACGGCAAUGCAAGUCUGAAGUGAAAGGCGUGGGCUCAACCCAUGAACUGCUUUGGAAACUGUAUAGCUUGAGUGUCGGAGGGGUAAGCGGAAUUCCUAGUGUAGCGGUGAAAUGCGUAGAUAUUAGGAGGAACACCGGAGGCGAAGGCGGCUUACUGGACGACAACUGACGUUGAGGCUCGAAGGCGUGGGGAGCAAACAGG